AUGAAAGGGCGGCAUGCUUACCAUGCAGUCGAACGAUGAACCUCCUUCGGGAGGGGAUUAGUGGCGAACGGGUGAGUAACACGUGGGCAAUCUGCCCUGCACUCUGGGACAAGCCCUGGAAACGGGGUCUAAUACCGGAUACUGACCCGCUUGGGCAUCCAAGCGGUUCGAAAGCUCCGGCGGUGCAGGAUGAGCCCGCGGCCUAUCAGCUUGUUGGUGAGGUAAUGGCUCACCAAGGCGACGACGGGUAGCCGGCCUGAGAGGGCGAUCGUCCACACUGGGACUGAGACUCAAUCCAUACUUCUAUCUCGAGGCAG
rnacentral:rRNA from 1 species